GAUGAACGCUGGCGGCGCGCCUAACACAUGCAAGUCGAACGAUUAAAGCACCUUCGGGUGUGUAUAAAGUGGCGAACGGCUGAGUAACACGUGGGCAACCUGCCCCUUUCAUUUGGAUAGCCACGGUAAACCGUGGAUAAUACCGAAUACUUCGAGACUUCCGCAUGGAAGACUCGAGAAAGCUCCGGCGGUGGGGGAUGGGCCCGCGGCCUUUUAGCUUGUUGGUGGGGUAACGGCCUACCAAGGCAAUGAUGGGUAGCUGGGUUGAGAGACCGACCAGCAAGAUUGGGACUGAGAGACGGACCAGAAUGCAACGGGAGGCAGCAGUGGGGAAUAUUGCACAAUGGGAGAAAGCCUGAUGCAGAGACGCAGCGUGCGGGAUGAAGGCCUUCGGGUUGUAAACCGAUUUCAGAAGGGAAGAGGAGAAAGUGACGGUAACUGAAGAAGAAGCACCGGCUAACUACGUG
rnacentral:rRNA from 1 species